rnacentral:lncRNA from 1 species
UUACUACGUUUUAAGAGAAUUAGAAUUGGGUUAAGAAGAUAAUUGAAUUAAUUAAUUGAUUACUUUUAAUUAAUUAAAAAAUAUAUUUUGGGGAAUUAAAAACUAGACAUUGAGUUGGAUAACUUAUAUGACUUUUGUAAUAGCCAAUUUUGGCUCAUGUCUAUAAAAUAAAAUAAACCAAAAAUAAGUGAAAACCCAAAUGUUUAUUAAACAGUCCCUUUAUACAUUAAAAUGGCACAAAUCAAACAAUACCCCAAAACCCAAAUCUAACCUACCCUAGCCCAACUACACAAAACAAUUCAGCAACCCUAGCCCUUCCAAGCUUCAGCCGCCGCUUACCCCCUCAGCCUUGGCCUCCACGCGCCCCGCCUCACCUCCUCACGAGCCAACCACCAGCCUCCCAUGCACCUGGCACCUCUCUGAAACCUGCAAAAUAUUGAAUACAAUGACAAAGGGCAGCAAAAGAAACAAGCAGAAACGACAAAGAGAAUAGAAGUAGGGGGUCGUUUAAUCGGCUUUAAAAAGCCAAGAUACACCUUUGUAAAUUUUUUACACACACCAUUAAUAAAAAAAAUAGAACAGAAGUUUCAAAAGGUGGAUUUUUUAACUAUCUAUUUUCGUUUUUUGCUUCUUUUAUUUUUAUUGUUUUUAUUUCAUAACUAAAAUCUUUCAAAUAUAAAAAGGAAGAAAUAAACUUACCUAAGUAGCCUCACGUCCUCAAUCGUCGUGGGAGUUUCACCGGCGUCGAGGGCCUCACAACCUUUUAAGGUUUGGCUAAAGGGACCAAAGGUCCUCUUUUAUUCGUUUUCUGUCGCAAAUAAGGGGUUAGACCUCUAGAUCCAGUCAAAACAAGUCUAAAGGGACCGUUUUGUGACUCCCUGACCACCGUAUACGGUGGAGGAGCGGCGGUCCGGCAAUGAGGCAAAGAUGGGUAUAUUACCCUAGCAAAAAUGGGAAAAAUAGAAGAGGGAGAGAGAGCAACAGAGGCUCUCUGUUGUUUUUUUUAAAAAAAAUGGAGCUGAAAUGGAGAGAAAUAAAUUUUUUUUUG